rnacentral:misc_RNA from 1 species
UCCUGGUUUCCCAGGCAGUCCCACCAGAGUGCUCCCUCACGGGAUAGCAACUGGCAGCAAGAGUUGCGCUCGUUAAAGGACUUAACCCAACAUCUCACGACACGAGCUGACGACAGCCAUGCAGCACCUGUAUAAUUGUCUGAGUUUACACCCAGAAAGCUACAUCUCUGCAGCGGUCAAAAAUAUGUCAAGCCCAGGUAAGGUUCCUCGCGUAGUGUCGAAUUAAACCACAUGUUCCACCGCUUGUGCGGACCCCCGUCAAUUCCUUUGAGUUUUAAUCUUGCGACCGUAAUCCCCAGGCGGAUCACUUAACGCGUUAGCUACGACACUCACCCGCAAUCGGGCAAACGUCUAGUGAUCAUCGUUUACAGCAUGGACUAC